UGCGGGAUGACGGCCUUCGGGUUGUAAACCGCUUUCGCCUGUGACGAAGCGUGAGUGACGGUAAUGGGUAAAGAAGCACCGGCUAACUACGUGCCAGCAGCCGCGGUGAUACGUAGGGUGCGAGCGUUGUCCGGAUUUAUUGGGCGUAAAGGGCUCGUAGGUGGUUGAUCGCGUCGGAAGUGUAAUCUUGGGGCUUAACCCUGAGCGUGCUUUCGAUACGGGUUGACUUGAGGAAGGUAGGGGAGAAUGGAAUUCCUGGUGGAGCGGUGGAAUGCGCAGAUAUCAGGAGGAACACCAGUGGCGAAGGCGGUUCUCUGGGCCUUUCCUGACGCUGAGGAGCGAAAGCGUGGGGAGCGAACAGGCUUAGAUACCCUGGUAGUCCACGCUGUAAACGGUGGGUACUAGGUGUGGGGUCCAUUCCACGGGUUCCGUGCCGUAGCUAACGCUUUAAGUACCCCGCCUGGGGAGUACGGCCGCAAGGCUAAAACUCAAAGGAAUUGACGGGGCCCCGCACAAGCGGCGGAGCAUGCGGAUUAAUUCGAUGCAACGCGUAGAACCUUACCUGGGUUUGACAUGGAUCGGGAGUGCUCAGAGAUGGGUGUGCCUCUUUUGGGGUCGGUUCACAGGUGGUGCAUGGCUGUCGUCAGCUCGUGUCGUGAGAUGUUGGGUUAAGUCCCGCAACGAGCGCAACCCUUGUUCACUGUUGCCAGCACGUUAUGGUGGGGA
rnacentral:rRNA from 1 species